UGCAAGUCGAACGCGAACGGAAUCUUCGGAUUCCAAGUAGAGUGGCGCACGGGUGAGUAACACGUGGAUAACCUGCCCUAGAGUCUGGGAUAACACUUCGAAAGAGGUGCUAAUACCGGAUAAGCCCACGCCUUCUUCGGAAGAAGUGGGAAAAGAUUUAUUGCUCUAGGAUGGGUCCGCGGUCCAUUAGCUAGUUGGUGGGGUAAUGGCCUACCAAGGCUGCGAUGGAUAGCUGGUCUGAGAGGAUGAUCAGCCACACUGGAACUGAGACACGGUCCAGACUCCUACGGGAGGCAGCAGUGGGGAAUUUUGCGCAAUGGGGGAAACCCUGACGCAGCAAUACCGCGUGAAGGAUGAAGGCCUUUGGGUCGUAAACUUCUGUCAGAGGGGAAGAAAUACUCGCAAGAGUGCUGACGGUACCCUCAAAGGAAGCACCGGCUAACUCCGUGCCAGCAGCCGCGGUAAUACGGAGGGUGCAAGCGUUGUUCGGAAUUAUUGGGCGUAAAG
rnacentral:rRNA from 1 species